rnacentral:misc_RNA from 1 species
AUCUGGGGUUUAUAAAACCAUUAAAACUCUAACCUAUAAUCCUGUUAACGUUUCAGGCUAUGAAAAUCCAGAAACCAAGAAAAGCAUUCCAGGGUUAAAUGCAUAUAGCAAUCAAGUCUUCACCAACAAUACUUAAUUCUUAGAAGUCGCCCUCAGUUACAAAGCUAGACACCAUCUUUAGUUGACAGCCUGGGCCCAUUGCUAGCCAUUGUUGCCGCUCAUCAUUGUUGAAUAAAGGGCAAGAUAUCUACCACAGGUCACCGGCAAUAUAUUGCCUGAUCAAUAUGGGGAGGAAUUUGCUUAAUUUCAGUCCCAAG